rnacentral:rRNA from 1 species
CCCUUAGAUGUUCUGGGCCGCACGCGUGCUACACUGAGUGGAUCAGCGGGUCAGGUUGCGCGAAAGCGUUUCCUAAUCUUUAAAUCCGCUCGUGAUGGGGAUUGACGGUUGCAAUUUUCUGUCAUGAACGAGGAAUACCUUGUAAGCGCGGGUCAUCAUCCCGCGCUGAAUACGUCCCUGCCCUUUGUACACACCGCCCGUCGCUCCUACCGAUUGAGUGGUCCGGUGAAUUAUUCGGACUGUAACGCAUUCAGUUCUGGAUGCAGUUACGGGAAGUUUUGUGAACCUUACCACUUAGAGGAAGGAGAAGUCGUAACA